CUCCGCCCCCGACAAGAUGGCGCCCGGCGCUGCUCCGCUUUCCUCCCCUCAGGGCCCGGCUGCCGGGGCGGCCCCCGGGGCGGCGGGGCAGCGGCCGGCACAGGGGAGCCGGGCCGCGCCAUGAGCUUUUACAACAGGAGAAUGAAGAGAAGGCAGCCAAGGGAGUGGAGACCCCCAAAAUAAGAUGCCUCCGCUACACACACACGCAUCUGUCUUUUCAGAAUUUUCAGCCUGGGGAGAGAUGGGACACAUCAGACAUAGAAUCAUAGAAUCAUGGAAACACAAGGUUGGAAAGGACCCACAGGAUCAUUUAGUCCAACCAUCCUUCUAUUACAUGCAGCAGAUUGAACCCCAGUGCAGAGAGCUGGGUGUUUCAGGCCCACGCCAUACACCUGCUGCUUCAGUACCCCGCAUCAGAAGAGAUGGAUGCUUCCUCUCUGAGCCCCUUGGCAAAAAUUGAAAUUCCUAAUUGAUUUUGAUAACGGUAACUUGCUUUAAUGUGGCUUUUGCCCUUUCAAGUACGUGCAGUUCUCAGAUGUGUUGAGAUCAAACUGACUCACCUA